GACGAACGCUGGCGGCGUGCUUAACACAUGCAAGUCGAACGAUGAACCCGGAGCUUGCUCCGGUGGAUUAGUGGCGAACGGGUGAGUAACACGUGAGUAACCUGCCCUUGACUCUGGGAUAACUGCGGGAAACUGUAGCUAAUACCGGAUACGACCCUCGGCGGCAUCGCCAGGGGGUGGAAAGAAUUUCGGUCAAGGAUGGGCCCGCGGCCUAUCAGCUUGUUGGUGAGGUAGUGGCUCACCAAGGCGACGACGGGUAGCCGGCCUGAGAGGGCGACCGGCCACACUGGGACUGAGACACGGCCCAGACUCCUACGGGAGGCAGCAGUGGGGAAUAUUGCGCAAUGGGCGAAAGCCUGACGCAGCAACGCCGCGUGAGGGAUGACGGCCUUCGGGUUGUAAACCUCUUUCAGCAGGGAAGAAGCGAAAGUGACGGUACCUGCAGAAGAAGCACCGGCUAACUACGUGCCAGCCGCCGCCGUAA
rnacentral:rRNA from 1 species